GGGGGGAGGGGCGGCGAGGCGAGGCCUGCGGAGCGGAGGAAGACAAACAUAAAGAUGAAGUGCUUAAUUCAAGGUCACACAAUGUCGGGGAUGGACCUCCAGAUUUCCUUACUGGUGAGACGUGGUCUUGUAACACAGUGGUUAAGAAUGUGACUUUGGAGCCAGCCUGCUAGGGGCUGAAUUCUGACUCAGCCAUUUACUAACUGUGUGACCUUAGGGAGGAGGACCUGGUUGAUAGAAGAAUUUAUCUCGUAGUCUUAACAUCCACUGUAAUUCCAAACUUUGAGGACGAUAGAGAUCAGUGGGCUUUGACUGCCCAGCAUGCAGUCUCCAUUCUUAGGUGGGUUCCCAAGCCUGUAAAAUGUAAGCCUUAUGCUGCUGAGGGCCAUCUUGCCACCCUGAGGGAAACGCUGCCUGAGAAUGAAACAAGCAUAAGUAAAAGCUGAGCUGUGAGAUGGAGCAAGAUGAAGGCCACAUGACAUCUUUGGAGCACCUGGAUCUAACUGUGCCUUAAGCUAGUCUAACCCUGAACAUUUCAUCAUUUCAUUGACAUGAGCCCAGGUUUUCUUUUUUUUUGGAUGGAGUCUUGCUCUGUCGCCCAGGCUGGAGUGCAGUAGCUCAAUCUCGGCUCACUGCAAGCUCCACCUCCCGGGUUCACGCCAUUCUCCUGCCUUAGCCUCCCAAGUAGCUGGGACAACAGGCGCCCACCACCACUCCCAGCUAAUUUUUUGUAUUUUUAGUAGAGACGGGGUUUUACCAUGUUAGCCGGGAUGGUCUUGAUCUCCUGACCUCAUGAUCCGCCCGCCUCGGCCUCCCAAAGUGCUGGGAUUACAGGUGUGAGCCACUGCACCCAGCCCUCAGGUUUUCCCUUUUUUUACCCCUCCUUUUGAAAAUUUGAUGUGGAAUUUUGCCACCUGCAGCCAGAAGAGUUUUAACUAAUCAGUGCCAUAAAUUUUAUAUAGUUCUCCUUGCAAAAUGUGGAUCAGCCUUUCUCAGCAAAUCCUUUGUCAUAAAGUGCUGAAUUGUAAGUUUGUCAUGAGAAUCACAUGAGAUCAUGCAUGUGAAGAACCUGGCAUUAUCCUCCUCAUAGAAAAAAACCAGUAAAUAUUAACUACAGGAAGCAAGGAAGGAGUGGGGUGAGGGGAAGAAGAAGGGGUACUGAUUUAAAAGAACCCUGGAGUCCUAAGGAUAAUCUAGGAACCCUCAGACCCAAUCCGAUACCCCUAUUCUAAAUGCUCCUAGUGCCCUGUACCUUCCCCUCAUAAGCCUUCAUUAUCAUUGUAAUGAUAUGUUUAUGUAAUAUUUUGAUUAAUGUCUCUCCUUCACUGACCUAGCAGUUCUAGCAGGGCAGUGAUUUUGCUGUGUUGCAUCCCCAGCACCUAGUCUGGUAUGUGGCAUUCAGCAUAUGUUUAUUGAAUGAAUGGCCAUGUGGUUAUUCAGAUCCUCCUUGAUUAUUGGGGUUAGGAUUGUGGCAGAAGUGGCAAAAUCAGGGAGAGUAGUCCCUGUCCCCUCUGUAUCUUAUACACUGCCCACACUCCCAACACACAUACACAUACAGAGAAUUUUGUCUCAAUUAGAUAAUUAACUUCUGCUUGGUUGUAAACCAAACCACUGGUUCUUAAACUUUCAUUGGAUCAUUUUAUUGAAGAAUUAAAUAGUGUGGUUCUGGCCUAAUGUCUGGAAAGCCUUGCAGAGGAGUGGAUUAGGUCUUUGUGAUAAACAGGCAGCCUUCCCUGCUCCUGUGUCUUUAUAAAAUCUAUUUAACUGGAGUAGUCCACCCUCCCUCAGGCUCUUACAGGAAUAUGUUGGAGGCUGUAGGAAGGUGGGAAACCGAGAGGGAAAGGACUGGGCCGCUGGAGACUUCACUCAUUCCCUAGCAAGAAACAAAAGCAGUAAAAGGUGGCCCGAGGACAACCUGAAGCUCACUCCUUCAGCACUUUUGGCUGGAGGUCACUUGUUGGAGCCCCACUCAGAGCUCAGCACACCACCCCACCAGCAGCCUCCUCCUCCCAGCUGAGGCUGCAUUUCAUCCCUUCCCCCAGCCUGCUUUCCCUGAGAUAGGGGAGUGUUUCCCAGGGCCCAUGUGACUUCCACUGGCAAGUGACGAUUACCAAUGGUUUACUAGUCAGUGAAACUACCAAAGGCUUUUGUGCUGUAGUAAUCCUUUUCCUGUUUAAAACUCUGGGGAUUUUCUAAUGUUGCCAAUAGUUUUUCAAGUCAGCAAUUACUGUGUGGAUUAUGUAAUGGCUCGGUAUUA
rnacentral:lncRNA from 1 species